CUCUUCUGCUGGCUCCCUCAGAGCUACUGGAACGAGUCCGUGCACGCUGUACCAAAUAUCUUCACUCUGAAUAAACUAUCGCUUGUCAUACAAUUUAGCGCCUUGUCCGAAUCAGUCCUUGACCGACUCUCCCUUCUACUCAUUCCAUCACCAACAAUAGGUAACCAUAAAGUGACUACAACUAGCUUACUAAGUCUUUAACCACACGGUAUUGGCACACUGAAGAGGUCUGCUGGACGGAGAAAGAGGGUCUGUGGCUUAACGUUGUCGUGAAAGAGGAAGAGGAAGAGGAUGUCACAAUACAAAAACAAGUAAAGGGUGAGGCUGUUACAGUGAAAGAAGAAGAGAAAGACGUUACAGUUAAACAAGAGGAAGACGCGUUCAGAGUGAAGGAGGAGGAGGAUGUUACAGUAAAAGAAGAGGAAGAGGAGGAUGCUGUUUUUGGGGUGAAAGAGGAGGAGGGGGAGAUGACUGUUACAUUGGAAGAAGACGAGGAUGAAGAGGAUGAAACUGGAGAUCUGGGCCCGGUUUCCCAAAGGCAUGUUAAGGCAUCCAAUGGUUCUAACGAUGAACAGGCCCUGAUUAACACUAGAGAGAUACGGGACUAUCGUGGAUCCUUUGGGGAGCCUCAACAACCUCGUGAUGCUGACAAGGCAGAGAAGAGUCUCUCCAGAUCAGAACACCUCAAGAAACACCUGCAGAGAU